rnacentral:rRNA from 1 species
AGAAGCUUGCUUCUUUGCUGACGAGUGGCGGACGGGUGAGUAAUGUCUGGGAAACUGCCUGAUGGAGGGGGAUAACUACUGGAAACGGUAGCUAAUACCGCAUAACGUCGCAAGACCAAAGAGGGGGACCUUCGGGCCUCUUGCCAUCGGAUGUGCCCAGAUGGGAUUAGCUAGUAGGUGGGGUAACGGCUCACCUAGGCGACGAUCCCUAGCUGGUCUGAGAGGAUGACCAGCCACACUGGAACUGAGACACGGUCCAGACUCCUACGGGAGGCAGCAGUGGGGAAUAUUGCACAAUGGGCGCAAGCCUGAUGCAGCCAUGCCGCGUGUAUGAAGAAGGCCUUCGGGUUGUAAAGUACUUUCAGCGGGGAGGAAGGGAGUAAAGUUAAUACCUUUGCUCAUUGACGUUACCCGCAGAAGAAGCACCGGCUAACUCCGUGCCAGCAGCCGCGGUAAUACGGAGGGUGCAAGCGUUAAUCGGAAUUACUGGGCGUAAAGCGCACGCAGGCGGUUUGUUAAGUCAGGUGUGAAAUCCCCGGGCUCAACCUGGGAACUGCAUCUGAUACUGGCAAGCUUGAGUCUCGUAGAGGGGGGUAGAAUUCCAGGUGUAGCGGUGAAAUGCGUAGAGAUCUGG